AUAAAAAAAAUAUUUUGCAAUCACAAUAGUUAUUUAUGUAACAAGAAUCGUAUGAAGGUAUGUUAUCGCAUUAGAUGUCAGAUUGCCAAUCCGAUGCGAGGCCGAGGUUGGCAAGACGUCGUGUGCGAUAAUAUGCCAGCAUACGAUUCUUG